AUUGAACGCUGGCGGCAUGCUUUACACAUGCAAGUCGAACGGCAGCGCGGGCUUCGGCCUGGCGGCGCGUUGCGAACGGGUGAGUAAUUCAUCGGAACGUGCCCAGCCGUGGGGGAUAGCUCGGCGACAGCCGGCUUAAUACCGCAUCCGACCUGAGGGUGAAAGCGGGGGAUCUUCGGACCUCGCGCUAUUGGCGCGCCCGGUGGCAGAUUUGCUAGUUGGUGGGGUAAAGGCCUACCAAGGCGACGAUCUGUAGCUGGUCUGAGAGGACGACCAGCCACACUGGGACUGAGACACGGCCCAGACUCCUACGGGAGGCAGCAGUGGGGAAUUUUGGACAAUGGGCGAAAGCCUGAUCCAGCAAUGCCGCGUGUGUGAUGAAGGCCUUCGGGUUGUAAAGCACUUUUGGCGGGAACGAAAAGGACUGUGCCAAUACCACGGUUCGAUGACGGUACCCGCAGAAUAAGCACCGGCUAACUACGUG
rnacentral:rRNA from 1 species